UAUUACUGUGUUUGCAGGGUUCAUUUAUUGAAUUUUGUUUGUUGCAGGAAAUGAUAAAUUGCGUUUUUAUGGAAUCUGGAUUCAUCUGUGUAUUGAUGGAUAUUCAAGACGUGUUAUAUGGCUACAUGCAGGGACCUCCAAUCGGAAUCCACGUUUCAUUGCUAGAUAUUUUCUUGAUGCUGUGGAAACAGAAAAUGGUUGUCCACGCCUUGUGAGAGCAGAUAGGGGUUGUGAAAAUUCUUUAGUUGCCAUUAUACAGAUGUCUUUUAGAUACCGUCACCAUGACAGCUUAGCAGGAGUUAACAGUUUCAGAUAUGGGAAGUCUAUACAUAAUCAACGAGCAGAGUACUUUAAUGGAUACCUAAAAAAAUCAUGGAUAUCUUUCUGGCAAAAACAUUUUGAGG